GGCUGGUUGGCCUAGUGGUUAGGGCGUAUCCUUUACACGGAUAAGGUCGUGAGUUCAAUCCUCACACUAGUCA
rnacentral:tRNA from 2 species